GUGGAGCCUUUCUGAUAGGGUCUGAGAUGUGCUCUUUCAAGCUUCUCCCAGUUCUUAGCUUGUUUCUGCAGACGUGCUCCACGCCUCGCUUACAGCCACCUCUCGUGUGCCUCUCAUCCCAGCCCUGCUGAUGUUCCACCCCUGGCAGUGCCCAUGUCCAGGCUGGGUGGAGUUCCUGGCAGCCUGGUCUGGUGGGAGGUGUCCCAGCCCAUGGAGGAGGGUUGGAACUAGAUAAUCUGUGAGGUUCCUUCCAACUCAAACCAUUCCGUUUCUACAGUUUUACUGCUGGCUUGUGGGCUGAACACCUUAGGAAAUGGGCAGCCUAUCUCCUGGGUGUGCUGAGAGGACCUUGCUCACCUCAUGGCAUUGUUCUCAUGUAAAACCAGAGGUGAGUUAUGGGUGUGGAGACCUUCCAUAGUAAUUAAAAGUUUGAGCUGCUUGCAUGACCUUGAUCAAAGCUAUUUUUAAAGUCAAAGUCAUCUUGCUCAGCACAUUCACACUUUCUUUCUCCUGACCAGACAGCCGCUGAAGGUGCAAAUAUAAUGGAUUCUGUCAUCCUAAUGUCAUAGAUUUCCCCCGUUACACCAGUGUUAGCACAGACCCUUGGGGAAUCUGCAGCGUGAGCUCUGAGAUCAGCCUCCCCACCUCAGCUAUCAGCCAACAUCAUCUGCACGGAGGAAAUGCAAAAGGUUCGUGCACGAUCCCACCUCUGCCGCUGUGGCAGAUGGCUGCAUCAGCUGAAUGUGUAACGCCGUGGGGGUCCCACAGCCACGUGCUGCACAGGAGGAAUUACAAGUGUCGUAUUUGUUUUCUUCUGAAAUAUACGGUGAGGACUCGGAGCGCUGAAGGCACCGUGGAUUUAUGCUGUUGAAGACGGUUUGGGUUCGACUUAAAGCGGCUGCGGAGCUCGGGGGGAUGCUCUGCGUGGAGCUGGUGCGCGAGGUACGUCCUGUGCUGCGGCUCUUGUUCUUGUUAGGGAGGUGCUGAAAGCGGGGGUGUGCAAAAAGUGCAGGUGCCAAAGUGCACACAGAUGCGCACAGGUGGGUGUACGUGCUGUGUGUGCUCUCUGCAUCCCUAAUCCAGGUCCAGCUAUCCCCGGUCCAGCUGCUACAAAGCUGCUUCGUUAACGGUCUGAUGGCCGUUCUAUCUUUCCCCUCUUCCCCGUGGAAUAAAUCAUCACAGGAAUGAAGUUGUUAGGAUGGG
rnacentral:lncRNA from 1 species